AUGACGACCCCAUAUCCAUCCUACAUGACUGUGUAUGGAGGAGAGAAUGUUGCCAUCAGCUCCCAGUCUAGUCUGAGUCUGUACUCAAUCCCUAAGCACUACUUGGCCUGCUACCAGCAGAAAGCAGGGCAGUCUCCUAAACUGCUAAUCUACUGGUCAUUUAUUUGGAACACUGGGGACGCUGAUUACAGCAUAGGCAGUGGAUUGCAGACAGAUUUCACUCUCACCAUGAGCUGUGUCCUUGCUGAAUAUCUGGGAACUUAUUAUUGUCAACAUCAUUAUUGCACUUCAUCCUUAGUGCUUCAGCCUUCAACACAAACCUGCUCUAAGAGUCUCAACAAGUGUCUGAACCAUAAAGAGCUAUAA